GCAGCAGACUGGGUCCUGUGGGUGCCUGUCCCCGCUCAUGGAAUCAUCUCUGCCUCCCAAGGGGGGCCCACAAACUCCCGGGACAGCUUCCCCCAGGUUUGGUGCCAUCUCUUAGCUCAGGCUGCUCUCCUAGGGCCGUCGUUCUCGCCGCCAAAGGAGGGAGUUCAGGGAGAAACGCUUGAAAGGGAGGAAGAUCAGCCCGCCCAGCUAUGCACGGAGAGACAGUCCCACCUACGAUCCCUACAAACGGUGAGUGGCCACAGUCCUGGGACGAGCAGGUUCUCCAGGCUGGGAACAUCCCCUUCCUGCAGGGAACCUGGCACCCGCUGGCUUUUGGGAGAGAGUUUUUCGGCAACUGAAGCUGCAUUCCUCCUCGCCACCUCACAGCUCCCCCUCGGAGUCCACCUCCGAGUCCCGCUCCCGUUCCCGCACCCCAUCUCCCGGCCAUGAGGAAAAGAUCACCUUCAUCACCAGCUUUGGCGGCAGUGACGAGGAAGCGGCAGCGGCAUCCGCGCAAGCCGGUGGCAUCUCCGGAAAAGCCACCACGCUUGGGAAACAGCGUUCCGCCCCGGGGCAGCCAGGCAGCACUGCGGCAGGUCAUAGCACCUCGUCCCGGAGACGCUCUUCGUCCUCUUCCACCUCCCCAUCCUCCUCCUCAUCCUCCAGCUCCCGCUCCAGCUCCCGCUCACACCGAGGCGGUGGCUACCACCGCUCUAGCCGCUACUGCCGCUCCCACAGCCGCCGGU
ensembl:lncRNA